AGUGAACGCUGGCGGUAGGCCUAACACAUGCCAGUCGAGCGGCAGCACAGUAAGAGCUUGCUCUUACGGGUGGCGAGUGGCGGACGGGUGAGGAAUACAUCGGAAUCUACUUUUUCGUGGGGGAUAACGUAGGGAAACUUACGCUAAUACCGCAUACGACCUACGGGUGAAAGCAGGGGAUCUUCGGACCUUGCGCGAUUGAAUGAGCCGAUGUCGGAUUAGCUAGUUGGCGGGGUAAAGGCCCACCAAGGCGACGAUCCGUAGCUGGUCUGAGAGGAUGAUCAGCCACACUGGAACUGAGACACGGUCCAGACUCCUACGGGAGGCAGCAGUGGGGAAUAUUGGACAAUGGGCGCAAGCCUGAUCCAGCCAUACCGCGUGGGUGAAGAAGGCCUUCGGGUUGUAAAGCCCUUUUGUUGGGAAAGAAAAGCAGCAGGUUAAUACCCCGCUGUUCUGACGGUACCCAAAGAAUAAGCACCGGCUAACUUCGUG
rnacentral:rRNA from 1 species